GAGAUCUACUUGUGAAAACAUCUUAUUAAUGCAGUGUGGUUUAAAAUACAAGUAUUUAUACCAACAAAAUCCUUAUGUGGGAAGACACACACUUAAGUUUGGAAUUUUAACGUGUAAUAUGUGAAAAAUCUGUUUUUAAUUUCACACAGUGUGUUAAGUAGUUAAUUAGUUGUUGUUUAUUAGUAUGUGUAUCUAUACUAACAGGGUGUAAUGGAGACAGGGAGAGGAAUUUAUUUGCAGAGAAGACAGGCGCUACGGAGAAAAGGAUUUGUGUGGCACAAAGCUAAG
rnacentral:lncRNA from 1 species